UCUCAGGACCUCAUCAGGAGCCCUUGAUGCAUUUCUCCUCUUUUAUGAUCCCCAGCCUCCUUUUCAGAGUAGUUCCCAGCUCUGCCGGUAAGGCCUGCAUUCCUGUCUUCCAGCAAGGAGUGGGGCUGUACCACAGGGCCUGCUGUCAGCCUGACCCAUUCAAGUUACUUUUGAGCUGGUUUCCUGAUCUGGCUUACCACAGCUGUACAAAUACUACGAAGGGGGGACAGGACCAACUUUAGCUGCGCUCAGCUAAAACAGAGGGAUCGGUAUGCUGCCAACAUCCACCUCGUCAUUGUAAACACACAAAGCCCAAAAAAGAAACUAAUCAAAUAUUUCCUAAGGUGACUUAUUUAUUUCCAAGAGAACACAAAUCACAUGGUGCCACUGACAGACAGACAGAGGAAAACAUUCUUCCAGUUUUGUCCAGAAGGAAGCAGCUGGGACAGCAUUGCAAGGAGUCUUCCAAAGUGUGCAAAGUUUUUGAUGAGUUGAGAAAUGAGAAUAACAGAACUGCUGAAACGAAGCUAAAUCAAGAGUUACAAAUUACACUGCUAAAGAAGAAAUCUCCCAAACUGGAAAAGAAUGUUGAAGCUAGAAAUGGUCUUUUUAAAAUUCCUCUAAAAGCUACAUCAGGUACAGACAAUAUAAAUGCUUAGGAGUCUCAGUAUUGUUGAUCAUCCUGGCCUUUUGCAUGAAGAUAAGAAUUUUUGCUGCUCUUUUAUCUUCCAUUUCUGUAACAAACUUGCAAAUUAACUUUUCAGAGUGGCUGGUAUUACUGCAACUGAAAGCUUAUACUGGUAUCAUGAAACAUGAAUUUCUCAAUUUGAACCAAUGCACUUAGAAUACUGAAGUUCAGAACACAAGAAAGUUUUUUGAUUCUGUGAUACAACUAAGUUGCAAAUGUUUUUCAGUUUAAGAUCUUCCAUGUACAAGCAGUAGUAUGUACAAGCAACAAAACCGAACAUGAAAAAAUAAACUAAGCUUCUAAGGAAACAAUACAAUAAGCUUAUUUGAACUCAGAAGUUUAUUCAUAUUCUUGGUAUGUUGAAUAACACUGUUUUCAGUUUCAUUUUAUGAAAGACUUUGUAGCCCACAAUGAGUGGGCUAUCUUAUACUGUCAAUAACUGCUUAUAUAAAUAAAUAGAUCAGAGAUACAUGUAGCAUAGACAAGACACCACUCAGCAGUGUGAGACAACAGAACUCUUCCAAAGGAAGAGAUGAGAACACUUAAAAGAAUCAAAAAGGGUCAG